CAACGCAUUACUCGUAGCCAUGAUGAGUACUUGUCUGAGGACCAUAUUGGAGAGAAAAGUCCCCAAAAAAUGUUGCAUCAUCUGAACAAAACAUAAGUAAUAAAGAAGACCAUUUAGAUAGCAGAAGCGAUAAUGAGUCCCAAGACAUAACUAUGUCAAAUAACAUAAAUGGAGAGGACCAACUUGAUGGCGCUGAUGAGGUUAAAGAGGUUAAAAGGCGUGGGAAGACAAAACUUAUUAAUGUUUGGAACAUUCCAAGAGGCCAUAGGGUUGUAGUUAACUGUAAUGAGCUGAAUCAGCCUAUCGGAGAAGAGGCAGGAGUCCUUGCAAAAUUCCUUGGCAUGGUUGCUAGGAAUGGCUCCUUGUGUAGCUUAAGCUUCAAGGAUUGGAGACUACUUAUAGGAAAGAAAGAUAGGAACCAUAAACAAAUCAAUAAGGAGGCCAUUCUUAAUCAAGUAAAGAAGAGAUUUCUUUACCCUGCCCGCAUGGAAACAUGGGUGCUGCGAACAAUUGGAGAGCG